rnacentral:rRNA from 1 species
GAAGCAGUUAAGUUGAUUUCUUCGGAUUGAUUCUUAACUGACUGAGCGGCGGACGGGUGAGUAACGCGUGGGUGACCUGCCCCAUACCGGGGGAUAACAGCUGGAAACGGCUGCUAAUACCGCAUAAGCGCACAGAGCUGCAUGGCUCGGUGUGAAAAACUCCGGUGGUAUGGGAUGGGCCCGCGUCUGAUUAGGCAGUUGGCGGGGUAACGGCCCACCAAACCGACGAUCAGUAGCCGGCCUGAGAGGGCGACCGGCCACAUUGGGACUGAGACACGGCCCAAACUCCUACGGGAGGCAGCAGUGGGGAAUAUUGCACAAUGGGGGAAACCCUGAUGCAGCGACGCCGCGUGAGUGAAGAAGUAUCUCGGUAUGUAAAGCUCUAUCAGCAGGGAAGAAAAUGACGGUACCUGACUAAGAAGCACCGGCUAAAUACGUGCCAGCAGCCGCGGUAAUACGUAUGGUGCAAGCGUUAUCCGGAUUUACUGGGUGUAAAGGGAGCGUAGACGGAUGGGCAAGUCUGAUGUGAAAACCCGGGGCUCAACCCCGGGACUGCAUUGGAAACUGUUCAUCUAGAGUGCUGGAGAGGUAAGUGGAAUUCCUAGUGUAGCGGUGAAAUGCGUAGAUAUUAGGAGGAACACCAGUGGCGAAGGCGGCUUACUGGACAGUAAC